rnacentral:tRNA from 1 species
AAUUAUUAAGUUUAAAUACAUAUGUUUUGAAAACAUAAAUAAGAAUAUAUUUCUAUUAAUUU